GAUGAACGCUGGCGGCGUGCCUAAUACAUGCAAGUAGAACGCUGAAGGAAGGAGCUUGCUCUUUCCGGAUGAGUUGCGAACGGGUGAGUAACGCGUAGGUAACCUGCCUGGUAGCGGGGGAUAACUAUUGGAAACGAUAGCUAAUACCGCAUAACAGUAGAUGUUGCAUGAUAUCUACUUAAAAGGUGCAAUUGCACCACUACCAGAUGGACCUGCGUUGUAUUAGCUAGUUGGUGAGGUAACGGCUCACCAAGGCGACGAUACAAAGGCGACCCGAGAGGGGUGACGGGCAAACUGGGAAUUAGGAACGGCCCAGAACCCUAAGGGAGGCAGCAGUAGGGGAAUUUCGGCAAUGGGGGGAAGUCUGACCGAGCAAAGCCGGGGGAGUGGAGAAGGGUUUCGGGUCGUAAAGAUCCGUUGUAAGGGAAGAAAGAGAGUGAGAGUGGAAAGUUCACACUGUGACGGUAUCUAACCAGAAAGGGACGGCUAACUACGUG
rnacentral:rRNA from 1 species